GCAGCCUAUGAUGAAGCGAUCUCCCACUGGUGUUCGAGUUUCCCAACUAUGAGACAACUCUACAUGCACUACCAUCUGAGGCUGG
ensembl:snoRNA SNORD33 Small nucleolar RNA Z195/SNORD33/SNORD32 family